rnacentral:rRNA from 1 species
GUAGCAGAAUAGUUUGUUUUUUAAUUGGAAGUUGGUAUGAAUGGUUACACAAAAAAUAUCUUUUAAGUUAAAUUAAAUAAAUUAAAUUUUGAGUUAAAAUGCUUAAGUAUUAUAAAGGGACGAUAAGACCCUAGAAGCUUUAAUUAUUUAUAAAUUUAGUAAAGUUUAUUGUAAAAGGUGAUUUAUAGUAAUAUUAGUUGGGGAAGCGGUUUUAAUGUAAUUAAAAUUUUAUAUAACUUAUUUAAAGAGUAAUUGGUCUUUUAUAUAAAUAAAAAUAGUAUUAGUUACUCUAGGGAUAACAGCGCAAUGAUUUUGAAGAGUUCAUAUCUAUAAUAAUAUGUGCGACCUCGAUGUUGAAUUAAAAUUGUCUUAAGGGAGCAGAAUACUUAUAAGAGGGUUUGUUCAACCUUUAAAAUUUU